rnacentral:lncRNA from 1 species
GUAACACAUACUCCAUAUGUAUUAUAGUCCUUAUUCCUUGUAUAACUAAAGAUUCAUGAAAAACCAACUAGAUACAACAAAAGCCCGUGAGAGAUAACAGGCUACUCCACUAAGAAGUAAGAACAUUUCAAUACCAUUAUUUUAAUCUUUUCCGAAACAAAAAAAGAAAGGACAAAAUCAAUCAACUUAUGUAACACUUUACAAUCCGAGGGGAGGACACAACGAUACUUGCACAUGAUACUAACACCGGGCAGCUCAUGAAUUCAAAAUAGUAGCCAUCUUCUUCUGCAGCUCCGGCUUGUUAGCCCCGACAAGUUUGUC